CAGUAGCCGCGGUAAUACGUAGGGUGCGAGCGUUAAUCGGAAUUACUGGGCGUAAAGCGUGCGCAGGCGGUUCGUUAAGAUAGAUGUGAAAUCCCCGGGCUUAACCUGGGAACUGCAUUUGUGACUGGCGAGCUAGAGUAUGGCAGAGGGGGGUAGAAUUCCACGUGUAGCAGUGAAAUGCGUAGAGAUGUGGAGGAAUACCGAUGGCGAAGGCAGCCCCCUGGGCCAAUACUGACGCUCAUGCACGAAAGCGUGGGGAGCAAACAGGAUUAGAUACCCCAGUAGUCCCUGUCUCUUAUAC
rnacentral:rRNA from 1 species